CUUACCUGCACUUACCCCACCUGCCCCCAGCCCGGCGGGGGGAAGCCGGUGCCGAAGCCCCCUCCCCAGCACGCCCGGUUCCCAGAGCAUCCCCGGGAGCUGGGGAGCGGAGGGCGCUUGUCCUCGGCGCCCCUUUCUGCCAGCCCACCCUUUCGCACGCCCGUGCCCCCUCCCCGCACCUGGGGCUCACCUGGGGGCUCCGCCUGCCUCUUGCCCGGGGAGCGCGGCCGUCACGGCUGGCUCUGCCGCUGCAGCAGCCGCUUCCCGGCGAGGAGGAGGAGGAGGAGGAGGAAGAGCCCGAGCCUGAAGCCCCAGAAGGAUGCCAUAGCGCCGGGCUGCGCUGACAAAGGCGGCAGCAGGAAUAACUCCACAGGGCUGGAAACACUGAGGCUGAUGGAUGCUGAAGGAGAAGCUCGUGUUGAGGGGAAGACCCAUGAGGUGUGUCCUAUCUGACCUGCUUGUGCACAUCAAAUCCAGGAUGACUCGGAAUGGUCUCACCAGGAGAUACAGAGAGAAGUCCAAGGAGCAGCAUCCCAGGGAAGGCACAGCACCACAGCACGUGCCUCAUGCCGAGAAGCUGCAUCUCUUCACAGCUGGGCUUGAGCUGAGCAGGGUUGCUCAGAGCAAGAAGAUAUCAAGAACCAGUCAAGCAUGACUCCUGGUGCCAACUUCUGGGCAAUAAGUUUCAAGGCUCAGUCACAUAGCUGCAAGUGACAAGAUGUGAAGUUUGCUUCAUGCUGACAAAGAGAAGAUCCAGAUACUCCAUCCCCAGCUUUGAGCUAUGGAUACUGCUGGGGCACCAGAGAUGG
rnacentral:lncRNA from 1 species